rnacentral:rRNA from 1 species
UAGCAAUAUCAUAGUGGCGCACGGGUGCGUAACACGUAUGCAACCUACCUUAUACUGAGGGAUAGCCUUUCGAAAGGGAGAUUAAUACCUCAUAACACAUUGAACUGGCAUCAGUUUAUUGUUAAAGAUUUAUUGGUAUAAGAUGGGCAUGCGUCCAAUUAGUUAGUUGGCGAGGUAACGGCUCACCAAGACGAUGAUUGGUAGGGGAACUGAGAGGUUAAUCCCCCACACUGGCACUGAGAUACGGGCCAGACUCCUACGGGAGGCAGCAGUAGGGAAUAUUGGGCAAUGGAGGCAACUCUGACCCAGCCAUGCCGCGUGCAGGAAGAAGGCGUUAUGCGUUGUAAACUGCUUUUAUAUAGGAAGAAAUAGACCUUGCGAGGUAAGUUGACGGUACUAUAUGAAUAAGCACCGGCUAACUCCGUGCCAGCAGCCGCGGUAAUACGGAGGGUGCAAGCGUUGUCCGGAUUUAUUGGGUUUAAAGGGUGCGUAGGCGGUUUAUUAAGUCAGUGGUGAAAGACGGUCGCUCAACGAUUGCAGUGCCAUUGAUACUGGUAGACUUGAGU